GAGGCUGGCCCUUCAGUAACUUUUUCAGAAAGUCAACAGUAUUCUGAAGAGACAGCCUACAGUGGUUUGUAUUUAUUGCUGAUAAGCACGAGGUUUUUAAGGUGGGAAGACUGGCCUCCGCCCCGGGCAGACCUUGGGCAUCAUCAGCUUGUGUCAGCGGUUCCAUAUUCUCAGUGCCUUUCCCACAGACUUCAGCGGGGGCGAAACACCUUUCGCCUGACAGCUUCACCCUUCUCAAAAUGUGUUGUUUCUUCACUGGCAAAACCAGUAUCACAGUUUAUACCAGGAUCUCCCAGGGAAAUCCAUGGAGACCUGAAACGUGUCUCCAGCUUUCAGAAAUCACCAGCGGAGGACCGCACAGGUGGUCUAGGACCAAGUGGAAAUGGAUCUAUGGCAGGCAGGAGGCCAUCCACGGCUCUGGAGAGCUCCCUAGCUCUGCCUCCAAAGGCCUGUGUUCUCUGGGUCUCAACUGAAGGCUCAGAACCUUGGGGACGCUCUACCUCUAAGGUAAACAGUUGCCUGACAACCAGAGCACAGCAGUUGCACUGGGGGAUGGGGAGGCCAGCCAGCUUCGAGGACACAGUUGCCCUCUCACUUUGCCCACAGCGGUCCCGGAUGACCAGGUUCCGGCCUUCCUUCAGGUGGAUGGUGAGGAGAACCUGAUGCUAAGUGGAACUACGCGAUGGUGACGAUUGUCCCUUCAUUCUGGAGACACACGUGAGAGCUGUCACAGGGAGAGCUGCGUGGUACACAGGAAGCUGCCAAGGUAUACAACACUAGCGGUCUGGUUAAAUUGGGCCAGUUGUGCAGAGAAGGGUUUAGGCUUCCGUUUGCCGAGAGGACACAUGGGAGCCAUAUAAAACAGCUCAGGAAAAACUUGUCAAAAACUUUCAAUUUUCAGAAAUGUAUUUGUUUAAAUUCAGAGUGAGAUUGAGUCUACAUUUUUCUGAAUAACAAAUGUCGUUAGAAAUAAUACCACCACACUGAGGGCUUGUCACACUUGUUCACUUGAAAUUCUCAACUCCACGUGUUUUCUAUACCAAGUCUACCCCUGGUUUUUUUCCUUUGAGAGGGAGUGGGGAAGGCACAGGGGGAGAAGGAGAGAGAGACUCAAGCAGACACCCCACUGAGCGUGCCUAACUCAGGGCUCAGUCCCAGGAUCCCAAGAUCGUGACCUGAGCCGAAGGCGAGUUGGAUGCUUAACUCACUGCCCCCGCAGGUGCCCCUUAAGUCCACGUCAUUUUGAUAUGAUGAGUUUUCUACUCUUGGUAAGUUUUCGUUGAAACCUAAGUAAACUUCACUGAGUAACUUUUGACAACAAUUACAAAGUAAAUUUUAAAAUGACACCGUGAAUUAAACAUAGUUUUAUUUGUCACAGUGCCAGAAUGUUUAUUAUGUGAAAUGAAGUGAAAGUAUAAUGCAAAGCAAAUGACAUUUGUUGUCGUAUAUUUUCCUGGUUUGCAGUGUGUGUAUACAGCGGGCGGUUGUGUGGAUUUGACUUUUUUUUCCAACCACAAAAAGGUUUUUCCUUUUUUUUUUUAAGAUUUUAUUUAUUUAUUUGAUAGACAGAGAGAGAUCACAAGUAGGCAGAGAGGCAGGCACAGAGAGAGAGAAGCAGGCUCUCCACCUAGCAGAGAGUCCGAUGCGGGGCUCGAUCCCAGGACCCUGAGAUCAUGACCUGAGCCGAAGGCAGAGGCUUAACCCACUGAGCCACCCAGGUGCCCCAACCUUUNNNNNNNNNNNNNNNNNNNNNNNNNNNNNNNNNNNNNNNNNNNNNN
rnacentral:lncRNA from 1 species